rnacentral:misc_RNA from 1 species
GAUGAAGAACGUAGUGAAAUGCGAUAAGUAAUGUGAAUUGCAGAAUUCAGUGAAUCAUCGAAUCUUCGAACGCACAUUGCGCCCGCCAGUAUUCUGGCGGGCAUGCCUGUCCGAGCGUCAUUUCAACCCUCGAACCCCUCCGGGGGGUCGGCGUUGGGGACCUCGGGAGCCCCUAAGACGGGAUCCCGGCCCCGAAAUACAGUGGCGGUCUCGCCGCAGCCUCUCCUGCGCAGUAGUUUGCACAACUCGCACCGGGAGCGCGGCGCGUCCACGUCCGUAAAACACCCAACUUCUGAAAUGUUGACCUCGGAUCAGGUAGGAAUACCCGCUGAACUUAAGCAUAUCAAUAAGCGGAGGA